UACGUAGGGUGCGAGCGUUGUCCGGAAUUAUUGGGCGUAAAGAGCUUGUAGGCGGUUUGUCGCGUCUGCUGUGAAAAUCCGGGGCUCAACCCCGGACUUGCAGUGGGUACGGGCAGACUAGAGUGUGGUAGGGGAGAGUGGAAUUCCUGGUGUAGCGGUGAAAUGCGCAGAUAUCAGGAAGAACACCCGUGGCUAAGGCGGCUCUCUAGUACGGUACUGACGCUGAGACGCGAAAGCGUGGGGAGCGAACAGG
rnacentral:rRNA from 1 species